CUUACUUAUUAUGUGAAUCUCCUAUUAAAUUCUUGAUAGUAUAUUUUAUAUAUUUAUGUGAAUUAGCUUGAUUUUUGACAAUUGAGAAAAUAGUUUUUGGACAAAUAGAAACUUCAAAUCAUGUUAUGCUAGCUGCCCAUACACUGUCAUUUCAAGUAUCAUUUGCUACGUGACCUCUUGGAGUCACGCAACUAUGCCUGUGAACUCAGAUAGCCUUUCCGCAUUCCUUUCAUCUACCCUAGGAAAAAGCACUUUCUUUUCUUACAAAAAUAUCUUUUUAGAGCCAUGCUUCUACAGGUACUAAUACUUCUAAAAGGCGUUUUAUUUGCUCGUAGCUCUCGUUUGAUACCGGAUAAAGCAAAUCUUGGGUUUCGCUUCCCUUGUGAUGGACCGGGAAGAGGGGGAAUAUAUAUGCCAAGUAAGAGAUAGUAGUGUUGUUCCUCUUUGCAGUACCACUACAUAAAGGUUAGAUAUAUGCGGCAAGUGGCAAUCAAAUAGCAGAUUUGUGAAGACAUUGUACUUUUUUGAUGCAAUUCCAUCUCCCGUCAAGGUGGCGAAUGGAUGCAAGAAUGUGGUGUCAUCACAACCAUUUCAUAUGUACCCGAUUUCCUACCAUGCAUCUACAGUAUGAAGUAGAUCAAUUGCCUACACCUAGCUGCUGCCCACGAGUUGUUGUUGCUCCCAAGUUGCUGCCCCCAAGCUGCUCCUCAGCAAGAGUACUAAAAGAUAGUACAUAAUUUUGCAACUUUCUCUUUAUUUGUAUUAAAGCAUAAUUUAUAAGUUUGGACUGAA